rnacentral:misc_RNA from 1 species
GAUGAAGAACGUAGCGAGAUGCGAUAAGUAAUGUGAAUUGCAGAAUUCAGUGAAUCAUCGAAUCUUUGAACGCACAUUGCGCCCGCCAGUAUUCUGGCGGGCAUGCCUGUUCGAGCGUCAUUACAACCCUCAGGCCCCCGGGCCUGGCGUUGGGGAUCGGCGGAAGCCCCCUGUGGGCACACGCCGUCCCUCAAAUACAGUGGCGGUCCCGCCGCAGCUUCCAUUGCGUAGUAGCUAACACCUCGCAACUGGAGAGCGGCGCGGCCAUGCCGUAAAACACCCAACUUCUGAAUGUUGACCUCGAAUCAGGUAGGAAUACCCGCUGAACUUAAGCAUAUCAAUACGCGGAGGA